UUUGAGGCAACUUCAAAUGUAGCAUCUUCCUGUCUUCUCUCACACCUGCUGGGGCCUCAGCCACGGCAGCAGCCUGCCUGCCCACCUCUUCCCUCCCCAGCCCGAGAGGAUGGCUGCCUGGCCAGGGCACCCGCCACUGGGGCUGCAUGCCAUCUCCACCGAUGAUGAGAAACUUGCAGCCAAGUACCACCUGAGCAGGAACGAGAUGGACAACCAGCCAGAAAGAGCUGGCCAGGGGCCAUUCUUCCCUCCUCACAACAGCUCCUCCCUGACCCUCUGGCUGAAUGGAAUGAGUCCUGACCCCUCAGUUUUCUGCCCCUGCCCUCCUCUCACCCCCAUCUCCAAGGAGCUCCUACUCAGCCUCCACCCCUUCUAUCCUGG
rnacentral:lncRNA from 1 species